AUCUCACUGGAGAUCCCUGCCUCUCUGAGGCCUUCCAAGGCAUAACUCAGCUACUGCUCCUGUGUGCAUCUCUCAGGACCUCUUCCCUCAGCUGAAGUAGAAUUGGUGACCUUAGCAGUGAAGCUGACAGUUUUUGCUCCAGCACUGGUACUGAUUCAGGCUUGUUGCCUGUCUACCAUGCCCGUGGUGCACACCUAUUAGAAAUACAUCACUUGCUGGCAUCAAAACAGAAAGGGAAAAGUUUACUCUUCUCCCCACCUUAAUCAAGUGCUUUGUGCUUCUGAAUUUGAUCUGAUCUUACAGAUGGUUCUGCAGCUCGUUCACAGGUAAAGCCAUACAGCUUGCAGACUUCCAGGCUGAAAGGUGUGCAAAACCACAGAUCUCUGCUAUUUAAGCUGCAGACCCGGGUUUUCCUGAGUGCUCUCUCAUUGCUGGAUGCACAGCUUUAUUACAGCCGCUCUCCAGGGAUGUGUGGAUAUAUUCCUGAAGUGUGAAGACUGUGGCUCCGAGAAUUCAUGGGCCACGCAGGCUUCUAAUGUGUAUAGUCCAAGGAGCAAAGCAAAAGGGAGCUGUAAGGAAGAUUGAUAGAGAGAUGCUCUGCCUCUACAAACAGAAUGCUGAUGGAGGAGAUGAAAAUUGGAGAUCCCCAUAUGUUUGAACCACUUAGGACUCUCAAUCUUAAGGAAAAGCCCACUGCAAAAAUUAUGCAAACUAUGCAAUGAGGAACAUCAGCAAUUUUAGGGAAGGCUGAACUCCUUCAAAGCCUGAGGCCACGGGUGUUUAGAAACCAUGCUGACAAACAGCAUAAAAUAUCUUGAUCGAGGGGGCUGACAGCAAAGCAACCAGCUGAGACUUCAGUAGUAUUUUCCUUUGAAGCAGAACUCCAGCUGGUUACAUGGUUGGAAUACGGAGUAAAAAAGGAACAGGUAGUAUUGGUCUUGUCCUCAAAGUACCAUUAAUGCUGUGGACAACCACGGCUGCACAGGGCCAGGCAGAAGGCCUGCAGACUUGGGAGAUGGCAAUAGCAAAUCUCAGAGACGUUUUGUUUUCCUCCCCUUGGUGGAAGAGUCUUAGACAAAGCAUUGGCCAGCCCUGAUCCAACAUGAAGCUCCUGCCAGCAGUUCUCCAGCACUCCAAUGGUCCGUGCAGCAUCUGAGACAGCGCAGUCAGAAAGGAUAUGGACCUCAAAAACCUGGGUCUUCCAACAGCAGGUGAAAAAGCAUCGUCUCUUUCUCUCAUCUCCUGAAGAACCCCUAAGACUCACACAAUUUUCCAGCCUCUGAGCCAGACGUAAGGCUUGUUUGAUUGCUUCUGUGGCAAACUAAGGAAUGAAUGAAUAUAAUCUCUACCCAACAUACGCAAAUCCCAAAGAUAGCGGAGUUUAAAUGGUCCCAAUGUAAAUGUCUGUAUCUUCAGGGAUGACUGCAGAAGUGACACAGAAAGGCUUUGAGGCAACAACUGUGCACUUGUUUGGUUUUUGGCCAGCGGCUGUCACAGUGAGUCCUUUUUCCACGCUAAAACUUUGUUAUAUUCUACUCUAACAAGUAGUAAAAACAACAGCAGAAGUAGUGGGAAUCUGCAGCUGAAGGGAAACUUAUUCCAGAGCAGGAUUUAGCAGGCUGUGCUUCCCUCCACCCAAUGUGAGCUGGAACAGAAGCACGCUGUAGCUCACCUAAGUGGCCUCUGUCAGUUCCAAUAACUCACUUAACAGUCGUGCUAAGAAAGCUGCACCCUGAAUCUCAGCACUGCCAAAUGUUUGCCCUUUUCCGAAUCUCAGAAGCAAUUCUGUGCUCAUUGCAGGAUGAAUCUCUACUGGAAAACAUUACUCUCACUUAGGAGACCUCAGAGUGAAUGCAGUGAUUUGCUCAGCGCACGCUGCUCUCCAUUUACCUCUUACUGCCCCUUCUCCACCUUACCCCCUUUGUUACUCCACUCUCCCCCUUGGCUGCAGCUCUUUGCAUUGGCUUUAUUUCAUGCAGCACCUUGCAGAGCAGAGCUGUUCUCACUGCCUCUUGUUCUUACAUCCAAGGAAACCCAAAGACGGAUGCUUCCUUACCCUGGAGCCCCCCAGGUGCUAUCUCCGUAGCACAUAACUCUCACCAACACGGCUUGCAUUUGCAGGAUACAACAUUGAAAUUCCACUGACAAUAUCAGGAACACAAAAAACAAGUGCUGGAAUUGCUGGUGCUUUAUAGGCACUUCCUGACAGGAGCUUAUCGCCGUCUGUACAACGUGUUGUUAUCCCCGUAAAUGCUGCAUGUUUGUAUAUUAUGGGUAAUGAAAUGCAGUCCUAACAGCUCGUAAGAUACAGGAGGACUGUCAGAGCUCCUCACAGU
rnacentral:lncRNA from 1 species